ensembl:lncRNA
AUUUUCUUCCAAGCCAAGGCUCAGACAGUCAAACAGGAGAUCCCAGGCCAGGACCACAAGGAGAUUGCACGGGAGGAGGAUGGAUGGUGAGGAAACUGGAGUGUAAGAGGUUAUGUAACGGUGUCAUGGAGGUGAAGAAUUAGAAUUCAGAUCCUGGGCUCUCCAAAUCCAGAACGCUGAUACUUCCCAGACCCUUUAGCCCAAAGUCAAGAAGACCCCAAGGUGGAGAGGGGGCCAUGCAGCAGAUGCAGAUGACCUUCUCCAUCCUCAGCGGCCCUGAGCUGGGCAUCUCCCCUUGGCCCCUCCAGACCCACACUUUGCCCUCUGCCUCUACCUGUCCUGUGUCCUGGGAGAAUGCUGUGUGGGCAACACCCACGGGCUCCCUGGUCUGGCUGGGUCCAUCAGUGGGGCAGAAGAGCAGAGGCAGGAGGAGAGUGAAUGGAAGACGUUAUUUCCCUGCUGCCUCUCUGCUUCGGGCGAGCUGUGUCCCUCUACUGACAGCCUGGCUCCUCAAGCUGCCUUCUCCAGUCAGCUCACUCCAGGUUUUGGCAUCUACUCCCACUCUUGUCCAUUCAAGCCUGGGGGUGGUGACAGCACCCUGUUUUAUUUUUUAAUAUUUGUUUAUUUAUUUGACCUCAUUGGGUC